UUCUAUGAUUUGGGAAGUCUGAAUGCAGCAUUGGUCAUUUUUCCUUUGGGUUAUGCACAAUUCCCAGACAGAGCUGUAUUUCUCCUCUAGACCAUGUUCCCCACAAUUUUCCAAUGCUAAAAUAUAACAUACUAAAGACGGUGCUUCCCAGAGACUGAUUCCUUUUUCAGACAGUUCAUUUAAUCCUCACAAUGGCUUCUUGAUGAGGUGCCAUUGUUAUCCCCAUUUUAGAGAAUGGGAAAGUAAACCUCAGAGAGAGGUUACAUAGCUUCACUAGGAUCACACAGCUUAACCCUCACCCAAGUAUGUCUGACUCCGUGUCCACGGUCUUAGCUAAGACACAUAUUUGUUUGAUCUAUCUUGUGUCUCGGUACUGAACACAGAGUCUGACACAACAAAGGAAAUUAUGAAGGAUCAGAAUGACCAAGUGAAGUGAUGCCUGGUCUGUUCCUUCUCUCACUGGGGGUAGGGCUUUCCGUAAACACACUGCCAUUGGAACCCACUCUUUCCCAGCCAAAUCAUCCCCAUCAAUAUCCUCCUCAGAGAAACCCUGCCAACCCUUCCAGGGCACCAUUCUCUGCUUCCUAUGGCUCUGACUGCCUGCGUGUCACACUCUCAAAGCCACGCUGAAUGCCAUACAAUCCUAUUGUCCCCAGACUGUACUUUGGAGCACUUCUUGUCUCCCCAUGUGUUUAGAAAUUCCUCAAGAACAGAGGCUUUUAUAAUAACAGUGGCUCCUGGCACAGAGCUAAUAUUUAUUAAGUACUUCUUGGCGCCAGGCGUUACUUUAAUUAAUAAUUGUUUUAUAUUCACAGCAAUGCAGGUGAGGUGUUUUUAUUAUACCCUUUUGAGAUAUAAGGAAACUGAGAUGAAGAGAGCUUAAGAAAGUUUCCCCGAGUCCCACAAGUAGGGGCUGGGAUUUGAGCCCUUGAACUGUUGGCCUUCAAAGCCUAUACUCUUAGCCACUGUGGGAUUCUUGACUUUUCCAGAUACUUCCACCUCUGUGAACUAAGUAGGCCCUCCCAGUGACUCAGGGGAGGAAGGAAGUACUGUCUCUGAGAGAGCUUUAGAGCCAGAAAAACAGUUGGAGGGUUUUUCACGUCUCCACUGUGUGCAUGAGGACGUGGAGUCUUAGGGCAGGGUGGCUGGCUCACGGUCACACGGCAAGCCCAUGACAGAAACGUGAAUGGGUCCCAGGUCCCAGCACGGACAUCUCCUGUCUGCACCAGGUGGACUGUAGUCACGUGGAUACUCACUUGACCACUGAGCUCCCAAGGGUGGCACGUAGUGUCUUCUGGGAAGCCUGAGAGGCAAGCACUGAUUCCAGACAGGAAAGCAUAAACACCACAGAUCUUGGGAACUGUCUGUAAAGGUGAAGGAUUUCAAGUAAGGAGAGGCAGCUAGGAGUACAGAUGGGAGGCCUCGCCGGGGAAUCAGAAGACCCGGAACCCCAGUUCUGCUGCAUGCCCUUUGGCAAUUGCAUUUUUCAAACCAUUUACUGUUGAGAGGGUAAGUGGAGUGACAGAGCUCAUAAUGUGCAAAUAAAUGGGAACGAAGCUCGUCAGCUCGAGUGGAAUGAAUUACUGUCGCCAGCGAGAUGCCAUGAUGGGGAGCAGCUGCCUGACGCCGGGUGGGGGCUCGAGCAGAUGCCAGGAGCACCCAUUCUGCAAGUCACGAGAGUCAGAAAUGUUUCCAGACAUUGCUGCAUGGCGGCCCCCAAUCCCACCUGGAGAUGGACAACCUCUGCUCUCCUGUGACACUCUCAGACAGUGCUGGAAUGAUCUCUUGUGGAUCUGCUUCCUUGCUUUGAAUUUAAAACCAUUUUUUAAAAAUUAAUGUUUUUCCUGAAAAAAAAAAUCAAUUUUAAUUGAAUUGAACAGAAAAAAAAAAAAAAAGGAAGUAAACCUGAAGGAG